rnacentral:rRNA from 1 species
GCCUACGGGACGCAGCAGUGAGGAAUAUUGGUCAAUGGGAGAGAUCCUGAACCAGCCAAGCCGCGUGAGGGAAGACGGCCCUAUGGGUUGUAAACCUCUUUUGUCGGAGAACAAAACCCGGGACGUGUCCCGGACUGCGUGUAUCCGAAGAAAAAGCAUCGGCUAACUCCGUGCCAGCAGCCGCGGUAAUACGGAGGAUGCGAGCGUUAUCCGGAUUUAUUGGGUUUAAAGGGUGCGUAGGCGGUCCGUUAAGUCAGCGGUAAAAUUGCGGGGCUCAACCCCGGCGAGCCGUUGAAACUGGCAGA